GCGCGAAUGGUUUAGUGGUAAAAUCCAAGUUUCCCAUACUUGGGCCCCGGGUUCGAUUCCCGGUUCGCGCA
rfam:Lachancea fermentati genome assembly, chromosome: C